AACUAACGCAUUCUUAGUUACAGUUUCUGUACUUUAUUGGUAUGAGAAACUUCCAGAACUUUUGUUCUGACAAAUUUUCACGCAAAGCCCUCGGGC
rnacentral:misc_RNA from 1 species